UGGACGCCAGUUCGCGUGGAGCCAUCCUUGAAAUACCACCCUGGCAUGCUUGAGGUUCUAACUCUGGUCCGUGAUCCGGAUCGAGGACAGUGUAUGGUGGGCAGUUUGACUGGGGCGGUCUCCUCCUAAAGAGUAACGGAGGAGUACGAAGGUGCGCUCAGACCGGUCGGAAAUCGGUCGCAGAGUAUAAAGGCAAAAGCGCGCUUGACUGCGAGACAGACACGUCGAGCAGGUACGAAAGUAGGUCUUAGUGAUCCGGUGGUUCUGUAUGGAAGGGCCAUCGCUCAACGGAUAAAAGGUACUCCGGGGAUAACAGGCUGAUACCGCCCAAGAGUUCAUAUCGACGGCGGUGUUUGGCACCUCGAUGUCGGCUCAUCACAUCCUGGGGCUGAAGCCGGUCCCAAGGGUAUGGCUGUUCGCCAUUUAAAGUGGUACGCGAGCUGGGUUUAGAACGUCGUGAGACAGUUCGGUCCCUAUCUGCCGUGGACGUUUGAGAUUUGAGAGGGGCUGCUCCUAGUACGAGAGGACCGGAGUGGACGAACCUCUGGUGUUCCGGUUGUCACGCCAGUGGCAUUGCCGGGUAGCUAUGUUCGGAAAAGAUAACCGCUGAAAGCAUCUAAGCGGGAAACUUGCCUCAAGAUGAGAUCUCACUGGGAACUUGAUUCCCCUGAAGGGCCGUCGAAGACUACGACGUUGAUAGGCUGGGUGUGUAAGCGUUGUGAGGCGUUGAGCUAACCAGUACUAAUUGCCCGUGAGGCUUGACCAUAUAACACCCAAACA
rnacentral:rRNA from 1 species